rnacentral:rRNA from 1 species
GACGAACGCUGGCGGCGUGCCUAAUACAUGCAAGUUGAGCGCUGAAGGUUGGUACUUGUACCAACUGGAUGAGCAGCGAACGGGUGAGUAACGCGUGGGGAAUCUGCCUUUGAGCGGGGGACAACAUUUGGAAACGAAUGCUAAUACCGCAUAAAAACUUUAAACACAAGUUUUAAGUUUGAAAGAUGCAAUUGCAUCACUCAAAGAUGGUCCCGCGUUGUAUUAGCUAGUUGGUGAGGUAAAGGCUCACCAAGGCGAUGAUACAUAGCCGACCUGAGAGGGUGAUCGGCCACAUUGGGACUGAGACACGGCCCAAACUCCUACGGGAGGCAGCAGUAGGGAAUCUUCGGCAAUGGACGAAAGUCUGACCGAGCAACGCCGCGUGAGUGAAGAGGGUUUUCGGAUCGUAAAACUCUGUUGGUAGAGAAGAACGUUGGUGAGAGUGGAAAGCUCAUCAAGUGACGGUAACUACCCAGAAAGGGACGGCUAACUACGUG